UAGGGAAUCUUCGGCAAUGGACGGAAGUCUGACCGAGCAACGCCGCGUGAGUGAAGAAGGUCUUCGGAUCGUAAAGCUCUGUUGUUAGAGAAGAACGUUGGCAGGAGUGGAAAAUCUACCAAGUGACGGUAACUAACCAGAAAGGGACGGCUAACUACGUGCCAGCAGCCGCGGUAAUACGUAGGUCCCGAGCGUUGUCCGGAUUUAUUGGGCGUAAAGCGAGCGCAGGCGGUUCUUUAAGUCUGAAGUUAAAGGCAGUGGCUUAAGCAAUGUACGCUUUGGAAACUGGAGGACUUGAGUGUAGAAGGGGAGGGUGGAAUUCCAUGUGUAGCGGUGAAAUGCGUAGAUAUAUGGAGGAACGCAGUUGGAGAAAGCGGCGCUCUGGUCUGUUACUGACGCUGAGGCUCGAAAGCGUGGGGAGCAAACAGG
rnacentral:rRNA from 1 species